UAAUGUCUGGGAGACUGCCUGAUGAGGGGGAUAACUACUGGAAACGGUAGCUAAUACCGCAUAAUGUCGCAAGACCAAAGAGGGGGACCUUCGGGCCUCUUGCCAUCGGAUGUGCCCAGAUGGGAUUAGCUUGUUGGUGGGGUAACGGCUCACCAAGGCGACGAUCCCUAGCUGGUCUGAGAGGAUGACCAGCCACACUGGAACUGAGACACGGUCCAGACUCCUACGGGAGGCAGCAUG
rnacentral:rRNA from 1 species